CCUACGGGAGGCAGCAGUGAGGAAUAUUGGUCAAUGGCCGUACGGCUGAACCAGCCAAGUCGCGUGAAGGAAGAAGGAUCUAUGGUUUGUAAACUUCUUUUAUAAGGGAAUAAAUGUAUCCACGUGUAGCUAUUUGCAUGUACCCUAUGGAUAAGCACACGCUAAAUCCGUGCCCGCAGCCGCGGUAAUUCGGAGGAUGCGAGCGUUAACCGGAUUUAUUUGGUUUAAAGGGUGCGUAGGUUGUUUGUUAAGUCAGGGGUGAAAGUUGUGGGCUCAACCAUAAAAUUGCCGUUGAAACUGGCAGACUCGAGUGUGCUUGAGGUAGGCGGAAUGCGUGGUGUAGCGGUGAAAUGCAUAGAUAUCACGCAGAACUCCGAUUGCGAAGGCAGCUUACU
rnacentral:rRNA from 1 species